rnacentral:lncRNA from 1 species
CGUUCGCCGCCAGAUGGCCAAGUCAAGGGACUUGAACCAGUGUUCGGCGUGUGCGACGACUUCGCCGCCAGCUGGUUAAGUCACAGAGUGCGGCCAGUGCGCGGACUAUCCGCGGAUGAUUGACUCGAGGCCGAGUCGGGUGGUUAGCUUGAUUAGGUUAAUAGAAACCUUGAAAGCUAGUGAUAAAGGUAAGAACUAAGGUAAUAGAGACCUUAGAGGCAAAGUGAAC